rnacentral:rRNA from 1 species
GUCUACGGCCAUGCUACCCUAAACAAGCCCAAUCCUGUCUGAUUUCGGAAGCUAAGCAGGUUGGUCCUGGUUAGUACUUGGAUGGGAGACCACCUAGGAAGACCAGGUGCUGUAGGCU